rnacentral:rRNA from 1 species
UACGGGUAGGGGCAAGCGUUGUUCGGAUUUACUGGGCGUAAAGGGCGCGUAGGCGGUCAGCACAAGUCAGUUGUGAAAUCUCCGGGCUUAACUCGGAAAGGUCAACUGAUACUGUGCGACUAGAGUGCAGAAGGGGCAACUGGAAUUCUCGGUGUAGCGGUGAAAUGCGUAGAUAUCGAGAGGAAUACCUGCGGCGAAGGCGGGUUGCUGGGCUGACACUGACGCUGAGGCGCGAAAGCUAGGGGAGCGAACGGG